AUUGAACGCUGGCGGCAUGCUUUACACAUGCAAGUCGAACGGCAGCACGGGCUUCGGCCUGGUGGCGAGUGGCGAACGGGUGAGUAAUAUAUCGGAACGUACCCAAGAGUGGGGGAUAACGUAGCGAAAGUUACGCUAAUACCGCAUACGAUCUAUGGAUGAAAGUGGGGGAUCGCAAGACCUCAUGCUCCUGGAGCGGCCGAUAUCUGAUUAGCUAGUUGGUGAGGUAAAAGCUCACCAAGGCGACGAUCAGUAGCUGGUCUGAGAGGACGACCAGCCACACUGGAACUGAGACACGGUCCAGACUCCUACGGGAGGCAGCAGUGGGGAAUUUUGGACAAUGGGCGCAAGCCUGAUCCAGCAAUGCCGCGUGAGUGAAGAAGGCCUUCGGGUUGUAAAGCUCUUUUGUCAGGGAAGAAACGGUGGGAGCUAAUAUCUCCUACUAAUGACGGUACCUGAAGAAUAAGCACCGGCUAACUACGUGCCAGCCGCCGCAGUAACAC
rnacentral:rRNA from 1 species